UUUUUCUUCCUCUCAAAACUUCAGAAAACAUUAGGGACUUGUUUUGUUGAAGAGAUGUUUUUGGUAGCUCUGAAAGCCAAAGGGGCUUGUGUUUUUAAUUAUAGCCGAGUAGUUAAGUUCACACCUUCAAAGACGCUCUUUGACUUCUGACGUUUUUGUUGAUGGUCUUGUCAUUUUUGUCAUUUUUUCCCCCUCUCUCCUUUGAAACGGAUUAUUCUUCGCAAAAGAUGUAUUCUGGCAGGCCAAGCCUAGACUAGCAUUUUCUCUUUUUGUUUAUAUUAAAUCCAGUUCAACUUUAAGCUGCUGGAGACAGUCAGUCUUUGUCAUGGGAUAAUUUAAUUUUCCUAAAGCAACUUCAAGGGCUUGAUUGAACAUUUGGAUGGCAGAUCUGCAUCUUGACUCGAGGCUGUAAGAAAAGAGAAAUAAAAUCUGACCUGAUCUCUUAUAGUUAUCAUGGGAAAGGAGCUGGAGAGUCACUUUAAAAGAAACACUAGCGGUCCUCACUAAAGCUCCAAGACAAACCACAAGAAUUCAAAGCAGCACUUGGAGUUUCUCUCUGAACCAUUGGAUACCAGACGAGCAUGAGGAACUGUUCUGUUUAUUACCUUGCCGGUAAAUACUUAAAAUCCUGGGAAGCAUGAUGGAAAGGCUGUGUUUAUAGAUUCCAUAGAGAUUCAUAUUAUUGGGAUGUUCUGUAAUAAUGGACAUUUGUAUUAUGCUAGUCAUCACAACAUGAACAGAAAUCAGGCCAAUAUUUCACAUUUGCUUUACCUGAGGUAACGUUAGCUCAGGCAGGGUGUGGAUUACGGAGGGUUUUUGGGAGGGUUCGAACAUAAAAAAGUCAAAACAAACGGUUGGGGGUCUUAGAAAGUACGUAUAGCCUUACUAAACUGUUUAAAUUCAACACUUUAAAAAAAAAAAAAAGGCUUCUCAAACAUUUUAGUCAUCACAAAGCCUAGCUAUAACAUCCAAAAACAUACUCUCAAACAAAUAGUUGUCGCCUGAGAAGGUAAGCUACAAAUAUAGCUAUAGCUACAAAACAUAAUUAGGUGAUUGUUUUACUUAACUGUAUAUUUAUUUGACAUGUAACGUUAGAUUACAAAAACACUGUUUUAAUAUCGUUUAAAGACAGUCGUCGUUUAGCUAACCGCUAGCGACGCCAAAAUAUUUCGAUUUACGUACGACGUACCUUCAACGAUAUCGCGUCGGAAAAAAAAAAUACCUUUAGAAAAAACUGACCUCCUUGAAAUAGCUUUAAAUUCAUACAGUGAGCUCAGCUAAUGUACUCUGCGCAAUCUUCUUUCUUGAUUUUGACCAUAAAUAGACUAUACGAGUGCAUAAAUUAUAUGUCAGGCAGUGUAUGAGGAGGUAAAAGCUCGUAUCUGACAGCAGAGGAGCUCAUUCACCUGGUGAACACAGAGCGCGAGCAGCGCAGCCUACGCACUUUGGGUUUGUCCCAUUGCAAGAGACGCGCUCAGUGCGCGCGCUCCCCGAGGACAUCCAGAGGACCGGGCGUUAGAGGAGAGCUUCCGACCCUCUCAUCUGUCAAUCAACCAUGUGGUUCAUCAAUCUAACUUUGCUCAUUCUCAAACUGUCCGUGUCUGCGGAAGGAUUCUCCACGUGCCAGUCCUACAACUUGGACGACCACAAAUCCAAAAGGAUCGAGGCGGUGCGCGGACAGAUUCUGAGCAAGCUACGUAUCCGUAGUCCACCGGAUCCCGAAGCCAGCCCGACACCGUCGGUACCGGUGGAGGUGAUGUUACUUUACAACAGCACGAAGGAACUGCUGAAGGAGCGCGCGCGCCAGGCCGAAGCCGCGUGCGAGCGGGAGAGCAGCGAAGAGGACUAUUACGCCAAGGAGGUGCAGCGGGUCAAUAUGAUGCCACUGCGCACAGAUACGAACUCAAUCAACCCGCUUCCUCAGAGCCCGUACUUCAGGAUAGUGGGCUUCGACGUCACCAACGUGGAGCGAAAUUCCAGUACUUUGGUCAAAGCAGAAUUUCGCAUCUUCAGAGCUCCAAACCCACAGGCACGCACCACAGAGCAGCGCGUGGAAAUAUACCAGAUUCUCAAAUCUGACGACGUGAAGGCAGCGUCUCAGAGGUACAUCGACUCUAGAACAGUAGAGCCUCGCGCCAAGGGGGCAUGGCUUUCUGUCGACGUCACAGAGACUGUGAAGGAGUGGAUGGCGUUCAGAGAGAGAAAUCUUGGGCUCAAGAUCAGCGUUCACUGUCCUUGCUGUACAUUCGUCCCCUCCACAAACAAUAUUGUCCCUAACAAGAGUGAAGAGUUGGAAGCCAGAUUUGCAGGCAUUGAUGACGACCUUAUAAAGCAGAACAGAAGACCAGGUGUGACUAAAGGACAGAUUGAAUUUAGCACAAAAACCCCCCAUUUGAUACUAACCCUGCUGCCCACCGACCGCCUGGACAGCCCUGCCAAGAAAAACCGCAAGAAGAGAUCAGCAGCAGACACUUCCAUAUGCACACGGACCGAUCAGGGUUGCUGUCUGAGGUCUCUGUAUAUUGAUUUCCGCCGGGACUUGAACUGGAAGUGGAUCCACGAACCGAAAGGCUACAAAGCAAAUUUCUGCGCGGGGAACUGUCCUUACUUAUGGAGUGCAGACAACCACUACAACAUGAUUCUCCCGCUGUAUAAUAAAAUGAAUCCAGAAGCAUCAGCAUCUCCGUGUUGUGUUCCCCAGGACCUGGAGCCCCUCACCAUUGUUUAUUUCCUAGGCCGAACCCCCCGUGUGGAACAGCUCUCCAACAUGGUGGUCCGGUCCUGCAAGUGCCGUUGAUUCAGCGGAGAGAGAGAAGACAUAGAGAUCUCAGAUGGAGGACAGAAAACAGAAAGAAGAACACCUAGGAUGGCUUGAGGGUAAGUAAAGUGAAUUAAUCCUUUAAGACAAUACAUUAAAACAAUAUGAUAAGAAACACCAGUUUGCAAUAUCAAGCAGCAUAACUUGCGGUUUUGUACAGCUAAAAAUAACUGGAAGCAAAUGACACCGGAAGUCAGGCACAUUAAAUUUACAAAUGGCGGCACCCGUUCGAACUUUCUCAAAACUGUGCAUUUAUAUUUAAUCAUUACACGGCCCAGUGAGUGGCUUACUCUCAAGGUUUUUCCUUUUUUUUCUUCAAAUGAUAAAUGUGUGGUCUGCACUCACUGAAAAUGCAGAUUUCACUAGUGGACUCACCAGCCAGAUGCGGUUCGAGGUUAGAAAAUCUCCGACGUAAACAGGAUGUUAACAAUUUCCAGACACCGACCACUCACGGAACGCCAAAUUUAAACGCUUGGGUUUAGGGUUUGUGGUGACAUGGCAGAAAGAACAGUGGGUGAAAAGCGGGCCGACCCGCUGAGGCGAAAUCGCCUGCAAGAUGCGUUUCAAAUGCACCAUGUGAUCGCUUUGAUUUGUAUAAUCUGGCAGUGCCCUCCACACCCUAUAAUGCAGAGCGAUAUAAUUUUGUCUGAUCUGUGGGAAGGAAUUUUGACUUGGCUUACAUAUCGCCUGUUUGUUUUCCUUCUGCCUACGAAGCCUCAACGUGUCCGUUAAAAGCUUAUAGCUGCUGGCAAGGCGUUAAAAGUUUGUUUUUGAGUGAAAACUUUGCUUAAAUGUUUAUCUGUGGCCGGUGAGAAUGAUCUGUAGGGAAUGACAAGGUUUCUGUGUUUGGUUGCCAGGGCUAAAACGAGCGAAUUCCUCUGUCUCUUGCUCAGUGAAAACAACUUUUAUAACUUGAUAGGAAAGGGGGGGGAUGCAAAAGGGAGAGAGGGAGAAGCACAUUGUUACAUAACAGUCCCUAAAAUGAAUCGACAAAAAUACUUAUUGUUGCUUACGCAACGUUGACUCAGCGUCCUCCGCAAAAGCAGAUCGGGGAGUGCAAAUUUGAAACCUCAGGGCAUGGAAGGGGACGAUCAGCCGUCUGAGGGCCGUGUGGUUUGGGAAGAGCAGUCUGGGUGUGAGAGUAGCUUCGAGACACAUGGUUUUCAAGGGGUGUGAAAUGUGCACGUGUGUUGUGAGAGUUGCUUUUGAGUCUAGACUGUGAUCUCAGUUGCUCAAUGAACAACGGCUGAAUUCUCUCUGAUACUGUAGAUUAACAUUUUAAGAGCUUUAACCGCAUUCCUGUAGCUCAAACCUGAAUGCAAUCUAAGUCGCUUUGGAGUGUCUGCCAAAAUGCAUAAAUGAGAAACGGUUCUAAAUAUAAGCAGAUUUGGGUUAUUAUAGCUGAAAUGUGUGCUUUUUAUGGUUAAAAUAUUAUACAAGCCACAAAGUAUAUCUGUGAUGUUAUUAGUUCAAUAAAUGCUACAGUUAAAAAAAAAACUAAAAAAAAACAUAUGCAUGUGCAAGUUGUUUGAGGCCAUAAAUAUCAAUUUAUUUAAUAUUAUCCUCAUUUUUAAGGUAAGUUGCUGUCCCAACAUCUGAGAGUAAUAUCCAAAUCUCUCUAUGCAUUAAAUUUGUUCAGGCCAACAAGACAGAUAAACUGAA